CUGGCAUAAUACUGAAAUCUAAAUAAUCUGAAUAGCUAACUAUAGUAUCUGAAAAGCCUCUAAACUCAAUACCGUGAGUUGAUGGGACAGGCCCCCAACUAACUCUACUAACUACUGAGAUAAAGACAUGAAGUAAUAUAAUCUAUCCUCAAAUGAUGAGGACUCACCACUGCUACUGUACUGCUGAUGAUCUGAGGGACUAGGUGCA
rnacentral:lncRNA from 1 species